UGGGGUGGAGGGAGAAACAGAGCGCCUGCGCUGGCGCAGUCUGGAAGGUGAACCAUAGACUGAAAGUUUCCUUUUGCGGAAGCCACGAUAACCAGUGUGGGAGAACUUCAUCCACAUUUACACAGUUGGGCUUAAACUUCAGAAUCUUUCCGAUUGCUGAGAUACAGUUCUCUGUAGCAAUCACAUUCUUUUUGGUUUUGGAAUUUGCACACUUAAUAACUUUUACCAAGAGUGGAACGGCUUCUGAAC
rnacentral:lncRNA from 1 species